rnacentral:lncRNA from 1 species
CAAUUAACACAACGAGAGAUUAAUGUUUCAGUCAUGCUUGUUAACCAAAUAACUACUACAAACUAUCUACAAAUUAGCAAUCAAUAGAGGCGAGCUCCAAUGCAUAAAUUUGAUGGAAUCUCUUCAUUUUUACUUCCAAUUCAAUAGUUACAUCAAACCAAUUUCAGAUGUGUACCUGGAAUUUGCAAAAGAAACAUGAAGGAAAGAGUCAGCAGUAGCACAACAAGGCGGCAACAAUGGAGUUAGCAUAGGAAUAACCAAAAUAACUAGCUGGAUACAGAUUUGGAUAGCAGAACUAUCAAACGACCCUAAACAGUCAAUCAGGCAACCAAUUCACGGGUAGAUUGAACUAAAAAAUACCAUAGAUCCCAACAAACACCAACACAAUAACAAAUAACCCGCAGUAGCCACUUAGACCUCAAACAAUAUAUAUAUAUAUAUAUAUAUAUAUAAAAUAAUUAGAUAUACAAUUAGGAAAUAUUUAAAAAAAUUAAUAUUAUUAAUUAUUAAAAGUGGGUGUCAUUAAUUACUAGUUAAAUAAAAAAAAAGAUGGGGAAAACAAAUCUAUAUGUAUAUAUAAAAGUGGGCAAUAAGAAAGUGAAGUGGCACCUCUCUUAAGCCAAGAAACAUAUUUAUGUUUUUUUUCUUUUUUUUUUUGGGGGGGGGGGGGGGGGGGGAUUUUUUUUUUCUUUUUUUUNNNNNNNNNNNNNNNNNNNNNNNNNNNNNNNNNNNNNNNNNNNNNNGGGGGUCAUCAUUUUUUCCAUUUAUUUAGUCUUAUAAAUUCAAUUACCAUAAUUCACACCUCUUUAUCUUCAUAACCUAUAUUUUUUAGUUAUCUCAAUAACUCUCAUGCCUUUCAUAUUCAUAACAUCUAAAAAUUUAAUGUGUAACUUUAUGACUAAUUUUUAUAUAUUCAUACAUAUGUACCUAUAUAAGGACUUAUAUGUGUUAAACAAAUAUGGUUGACACUAACUUUAUAUUUUGCUUAUAAUGGUUUGAGCUAUCUUUAUAUCAAAGCUUGUAAUGGGAGAGAAAAAUUAUACUAAGAUAUGAUAUAAUUUUUAUUCUUUGUUUUUUGUUUAAGGUAAAUGCACGAAGAUAUUCUAUGCAUGUAUGAAUCUUAAAAAGAAUAUUUAAGAAGAUGUGUCAAAUAAUGAGGUGAAGAUCGAAGUAAAGCGUAUUUUACAAUUCUCAUUAGUUGUCUAUGAUUUUGUCAUAUUUAGGUUGAUGUUGUAUAAGUUGAUGAAGUGAUUUUUUUCAAAUAAUAUAUACAAAGAGAUUUUGAUAUCUAUUUUUUGUUGUAUAUAUUGGUACUCUACAAUUGUAAUAACUUUGAGUCAUAAUGUUAUCCGAUGUCGAAGUGAGAUUCUAAUGUGUUUUUAUUUUUCUAUUAUAUAUAGAUUUAUUUUAAUAUUUUUUUUAUUUGUUCAUAAUUCUUUUGCUUCUAUUUUUCUCCAAUGAAAGUUUUUGAAUUAGGCAUUAAUCUAUGACAUUAACAAUUUGUAGAUAACUUUAAGUUAGCAUAUAAUAUAAUCUAAUUAAUUAAGAAAUCACAUGUAAUAAUAGGUUAUUACUGAUAAAAAACUUAACAAUAUGAAUGGGGCAGGCUUUCUUCAGGGGAUCGAGGAGAUGAUGAGGAUGUCACACAUCGCAUAGGAGUGAGUUGGUUGAAGUGGAGGUUAGCGUCGGGAGUUAUGUGUGACAAAAAAGUGUCACUGUUACUAUAAGGUAAGUUUUAUAGAGCAGUGGUUAGGCCGGCCAUAUUGUAUGGGACCGAGUAUUGGCCGGUUAAGAACACACACAUCCAGAAAAUUGAAGUAGCAGAGAUGAGGAUGUUGAGGUGGAUGUGCAGGCAUACAAGGAUGGAUAGGAUUAGGAACGAGGUUAUUCGAGAGAAGGUGGGUGUGGCCCCAUGGAAGACAAGAUGAGGGAAGCAAGACUCAGAUGGUUUGGGCACAUUCAGAGGAGGAGAUCUGAUGCACCAGUGAGUGAAGUUAUUCAAGAGAAGAAGGGUGUGGCCCCCAUGGAAGACAAGAUGAGGGAAGCAAGACUCGGAUGGUUUGGGCAUAUUCAGAGGAGGAGCUCUGAUGCACCGGUGAGGAGGCGUGAACGACUGGCUGUGGUGAGCACGAGGAGAGGUAGAGGGAGACCUAAGAAGUAUUGGGGCAAGGCGAUCAGGCAGGACAUGACGUGACUUAGGAUUACUGAGGACAUGGCUCUUGACAGGGAACUGUGAAGGUCGAGAAUUAAGAUUACAUGUUUGGAAAACUUGUGAAUAUUCUACAAGGCAUUAGAGUAAGACUAGACAAUUAGGAGCUAGUCAUAGGAUGCUAUUGGUCAGAUACUGAUGCAGGGCUUGAUCUGGUAGAUAUUGUUAUACCUUUCAUCUUUUCGUUUUUUCUAGAUUUCAUAUAUUGUUGUUAUAUUGUUAUUUAUGUUGUGUAUAUUAUUUUAUGUUAUUUUAUUAUGAGUCUAUUGAUAGUACUAAUAUAUCUCCUCUUGUCGCUUUCUUAAGCCGAGGGUCUCUUGGAAACCGUCUCUCUGUCCCUCGGGGUAGGGGUAAGAUCUGCAUACAUAUUAUCCUCCCCAGACCCCACUUGUGGGAUCAUACUAGACCGUUGUUAUUGUACUUUCUUGAGCCGAGGGUCUCCUGGAAACAGCCUCUCUGCCCCUCGGGGUAAGGGUAAGGUCUGCGUUCAUACUACCCUCCUAGACCCCACUUGUGAGAUCAUACUGGGUCGUUGUUAUUGUUGUGAUGGGGCAAGCUUUUGGUAGUUUAAAAUCACUAGACAAUGAGUUAUUAACAUUAUGAAAUAAUAUAUUUUUUAUUUUCGUAAUCGAUGAUUGAAAACUUAGUGAAGUUCAUAAUUAAGGUGCAAACUAUACUCAUUAUUCUAAUGUUAGGAUUUACACACAAUUAGUUUUGAUUCUUAUCUUAAUAAGUGGGUUAUUUUGAGAGAUUUUUUAUUAAAAAAUUAAUUGUUCAUGUGAAUGCUUUGUAAAGUUUAUUCUUUAAAGUGUAAUAUUAUCUCUAAUUUAAUAUUGCAGUUACUUAAUUAAAUGUAUCACAUAAAAUCAUGCUUUAACUAUCAGAAUAAUACAAUAAAUUAAUGAAUAAAAGUUUAACAUAUGUUGCAAACUAAGAGGGGAAAGUCUUCCUAAUGAUCUUUUGUCAAAAAGUACAUAUUUUUUUCUCACACAAACUUUUAGCUUCUUGUCACGUCUCCUUUUUCACUACAUCCCACGGGGCAUAAAGGAGUUUUUCCACUUAAAGAUAAUCGGAACGGGAUUUGUUUAUUGAUUAUUCAGAGUCACAACUUGAGAGAUUAAUGGUGUCUUAAUUCACCAGUUUUAAUCCCGAACCUAGAAAAAAUAUGACUCUGUCAAUAGUUCGCGAACCAGAAAUCUGGAUAAGGAAUUUUGUUAACCCGGGAGAAGGUAUUAGGCAUUCCCGGUCUCCGUAGUUACAGCACGGUUGCUUAACUGUUGUAUUUGAUUUUAUCUGAUUUUAGUACAUGCUAGCUUAUGUGCCUUUUAUUUGUCAACCGCUUUUUAUCUUUGUUUAUUUUAGAAGAAUUUUGACGUUGUGAAAACGCGUUUUGAACCACAUCGCAAUCAAUGCACCCGUGGUUGUCAACACAUUUUGACUUCGUCGAAAUUUGAAUUUGGAUCGCAUCAAUGCGCACCCGAGUUUAAGGAAGUAAUUUAAUUAAAUCGCGCCUAAAUGUUCUAACAUAAUAUUAUUUUGGGGAAGGCCGUGAAGUUCGUUAAAUGGCCCUCCAAAAUUCUAAUCAGUUUUAACGACUAUUUAUUGAGGGCCCCGUAUUUAUUUAUUUUGUUCCGUGAGGCUCUUCUCAUUUUAAUGAACCUCUUUUCGAUCAUUAUUUAUUUUAUAAGAAUUAAGACAUCGUAAAAACGCGUUACAAACCCCAUCGCAAUCAAUGCGCCUGUGAUUGUCAACACAUUUCGACUUCGUCGAGAUUUGAAUUUGGGUAGCAUCAACGCACACUCGAGUUUAAGAAAGUAAUUUAACUAAAUUGUGCCUAAAGAUUCUAACAUAAUAUUAUUUUGGGGAAGGCCGUGAAGUUUGCUAAACAGCCCUCCCAAGGCUAAUCAUUUUAGUAAUCAAUAUUGAGGGCCCCGCCUUUGUAGUUUUAUUUGGCGAGACUUGUCUCAUUAUUUUAUUAAAAAGGCAGCCUAAAACGGACUACGAUUCCCUAUUUUUGUUUUUAGUUUUGUUUAUAAAAUAGCGGAAAAGGCCUUGCCUACUUAUUGCAUUAAAACAAUAUUAGGUGUUACCAACUCAAUUACAAUUGGCCCAAGAGCCCAAGCCAUGUGGUAUGCUGCACCUAAACCCAUCAGACCUCAAGUAGAAGGUCCUAGUGUCGAUUCCCUAGGUCGAGUGUACCAAGGCCCCAUGCCUAACAAUACAAUCUUUAACAAUUGGAAAUAUUUACAGUACGCUUUCAAUCUUAAACAAACUCAUGCUAUGACUAUACGAAAUUAGUAAUCCAUUGCCAAUCAAAAAUCAGCCUGAUUUUCCAUUGCAAAACUAUAUGAAAGAACAACCAAUGAGAAAUUAUUCUAAGCCACCAUUAACAAACAACAUGUUGACAAAAUAUAAUAGUCUCAAUUAACACAACGAGAGAUUAAUGUUUCAGUCAUGCUUGUUAACCAAAUAACUACUACAAACUAUCUACAAAUUAGCAAUCAAUAGAGGCGAGCUCCAAUGCAUAAAUUUGAUGGAAUCUCUUCAUUUUUACUUCCAAUUCAAUAGUUACAUCAAACCAAUUUCAGAUGUGUACCUGGAAUUUGCAAAAGAAACAUGAAGGAAAGAGUCAGCAGUAGCACAACAAGGCGGCAACAAUGGAGUUAGCAUAGGAAUAACCAAAAUAACUAGCUGGAUACAGAUUUGGAUAGCAGAACUAUCAAACGACCCUAAACAGUCAAUCAGGCAACCAAUUCACGGGUAGAUUGAACUAAAAAAUACCAUAGAUCCCAACAAACACCAACACAAUAACAAAUAACCCGCAGUAGCCACUUAGACCUCAAACACUACUCGAAAUGCAAACAAACAACCUCGAAAUCAAACUUAAUUUCUUCUGAAGCAUUAAUGAAACAGAAGUCAACCAAAAUCCAACUCCAAGCAGACCCAAAUGCACUUAAAUCAAGCACCAAACGUCUAGGUGUUCUCAACAGGAAUUGAAACCAACUUCAAAGGCAAUGAAACGGUAAAUAACUUCUUCUUUUUUAUUUUAUGAAGAGCUUUUGUUGAUUUUUUUGUUUUCUUGUAAAGAACUAAAAUCUAAAAAGAAUUUAACCUGAAAUUUGAAAGCUGAAUCAGAUCUUAAAAAUUUAGAAUGGAAAGAAUUUGGGAGCUAAUAAUGGCUAAAAGAAGAACCCCCGGCAAAGUAAAUGAAAGUGACUUUUAUAGAAAACUAAGCAAGUUUUUAUUUCCUUUUAGUCCCCCCCUCUUUUAACUUUUACCCCUUUUAUUUUUAACUUGCCACACAAGUAAGUACCACUACUUUUCUAAAAAUUACCCAGAAGCCCCCAUCUAGAAGCUUCUAGGAAAUUCUUCUCUGGAUACCUCCCUGAAUUUCCUAAUCUACCCUUACCCCUUCCUUGAAUUACCCCCUUGUUCAAGUAAAACCAAAUCUACUAUUAGCCUAAAUUAACGUGAAGUCUAUGGACUUAGUUCUUAAAGACACAUGAAGAGAAAAUAACAAAAGUGCCAUUGUUGAACCCAUUAAUGUCAUCAGAUAAUACCCAAACAUAAUUACUAAUUAAGUUAAGUAGAACUAACUCACAUUAACACCCAAAAGCACUUGCUUAAUAAAUUCAAACAAAUACUAUCAAUUAUUUAAACCUAUGAACGGAGUAACACAAAAUCAAAACAGGAGAAACUUUUAUAAAUUUAACUUUAGAUUAAUGGUUAACAACCACUAAAAGAAAUAUAAAAAAGAACGACAAAGAAAACUAAAUAGAAGAACUCACUAGGCAGGAUUUCGAUCAUUUAACAGUGUUCGUAUUUUAGCCAUUUUCCGAUGAUAUUCGACUACUCUGAAUGAUGAAAUCCCCAUGAGGAUAAUAAGAGGAUUGCAUGAUGCCAAUUUGGUACGAUUUGGGUCAUUUAGGGUUUUGGCCGGAGAAUUUGUUUUUCAAUAUUUGAGCAAUUCCGGCCACAUUCGAGGAAAAUGGUUAUGGGGGUCGGGUAGAGGAGGUUCCGGCGGUGAUAUGGUGUAAAUUUGGGACCGUUUGGCAUGAACUGAAUCAUGGCCAGUAAAUCUUCGAUGGAAUAUUCGACGGAAUAAGGCAGGAUUUGAAGGACACUUGUAAUGGAUUCAUGAUGAGAGUGAAGGGGAGAUUUCCUGGUGUUUUUCUGGAGUCGAUUGGGAUGAACGGUGUUCGCUGGCGGUGGGGCUCUGACGAGGUUAGAGAUAGUACGAGGAAGACAGGACAUGGUAUUUAGGGUUACUGAAGGAAAUCGGACAUCUAUAUGUGAUUGUCACGAUUAACAUGGGCCGUUUGAUUGAGGUGAUUCAAUGGCUGUGAUUGAACGGAGUAAAACAAUGUCGUUUUAUUUUAAGGGUAGCUUGGAC